CCCGCAGGACGACCUGCGGAUGAUCUUUUCCAGCGGGACGACCCG
rnacentral:ncRNA from 1 species